AGAGUUUGAUCCUGGCUCAGGAUGAACGCUAGCUACAGGCUUAACAUAUGCAAGUCGAGGGGCAGCAUGGUCUUAGCUUGCUAAGGCCGAUGGCGACCGGCGCACGGGUGAGUAACGCGUAUCCAACCUGCCUUACACUCUUGGACAGCCUUCUGAAAGGGAGAUUAAUACAAGAUGUUAUCAUGAGUAAGCAUUUUCGCAUGAUUAAAGGUUUACCGGUGUAAGAUGGGGAUGCGUUCCAUUAGAUAGUAGGCGGGGUAACGGCCCACCUAGUCUUCGAUGGAUAGGGGUUCUGAGAGGAAGGUCCCCCACAUUGGAACUGAGACACGGUCCAAACUCCUACGGGAGGCAGCAGUGAGGAAUAUUGGUCAAUGGACGAGAGUCUGAACCAGCCAAGUAGCGUGAAGGAUGAAGGUUCUAUGGAUUGUAAACUUCUUUUAUACGGGAAUAAACGGAUCCACGUGUGGAUUUUUGCAUGUACCGUAUGAAUAAGGAUCGGCUAACUCCGUGCCAGCAGCCGCGGUAAUACGGAGGAUCCGAGCGUUAUCCGGAUUUAUUGGGUUUAAAGGGAGCGUAGAUGGGUUGUUAAGUCAGUUGUGAAAGUUUGCGGCUCAACCGUAAAAUUGCAAUUGAUACUGGCAGUCUUGAGUACAGUUGAGGUAGGCGGAAUUCGUGGUGUAGCGGUGAAAUGCUUAGAUAUCACGAAGAACUCCGAUUGCGAAGGCAGCUUACUAACCUGUAACUGACAUUGAUGCUCGAAAGUGUGGGUAUCAAACAGGAUUAGAUACCCUGGUAGUCCACACGGUAAACGAUGAAUACUCGCUGUAGGCGAUAUACAGUCUGCGGCCAAGCGAAAGCAUUAAGUAUUCCACCUGGGGAGUACGCCGGCAACGGUGAAACUCAAAGGAAUUGACGGGGACCCGCACAAGCGGAGGAACAUGUGGUUUAAUUCGAUGAUACGCGAGGAACCUUACCCGGGCUUAAAUUGCAACCGAAUAUGGCGGAAACGCUAUAGCUAGCAAUAGCGGUUGUGAAGGUGCUGCAUGGUUGUCGUCAGCUCGUGCCGUGAGGUGUCGGCUUAAGUGCCAUAACGAGCGCAACCCUUGCCGAUAGUUACUAACAGGUUAUGCUGAGGACUCUGUCGGGACUGCCAUCGUAAGAUGUGAGGAAGGUGGGGAUGACGUCAAAUCAGCACGGCCCUUACGUCCGGGGCUACACACGUGUUACAAUGGGGGGUACAGAGGGCUGCUACCACGCAAGUGGAUGCCAAUCCCAAAAACCUCUCUCAGUUCGGAUUGAAGUCUGCAACCCGACUUCAUGAAGCUGGAUUCGCUAGUAAUCGCGCAUCAGCCACGGCGCGGUGAAUACGUUCCCGGGCCUUGUACACACCGCCCGUCA
rnacentral:rRNA from 1 species